GGAAGACAUGAGAGAAAUCAGACGUGGUUUAGGUGUGUUGGAGAAGGGAUGCAUUUCAAAGUUGCAGGAUAAUAGCUAUCGAGGACAGGACUUGGACACCCAUGGUGUAAAUCGCAUUAAGAAAAAAAACCUCUGGAAACUCCACCAUGUAGUACCAAAUAAAAAGCUUCUCUUAAGGGAAAGGAAUAAAUCACAAAUAGGCACUCAGCCACCGAUGGUAACACAUCACCACAUAGAUGCCACAACUGGUUCAGCAUUUCUGUGUUUAGCUGUCUCACCUUCCUGGAGGAGGGCAUCCGCUGUGCUAUUGCUGCUAGCAACUUCAUGUUCUCGUUGUAGAUGAUACACUUUGCCCUGUCUUUUUGAAUAUUUCUGUUUUUCAUCCCAUAGACUUUUCAACUUGUUCAGUUUACGUGUUUUUUUCCUGAUCACUGAAAGAGCUAUACACCAUUAAAUCUGUUCUUUAACAUGAAAAGAGCUCAUAGACCUGUGUUUUAUUUUAUUUUUUGUUUUGUUUUUUUUGUUUGUUAAUGUGGGCCUCCUCUGUCUUCGUAAACCUCCAGUUCAAACUUUUUGUCACGUGAACCAAAAUUGUCAAUUCAAAAGAACUCGCGGGCCAACAAACUUAAAAGCUUGUAAAAAAAACAAAAAGUACAAAAAAGAUGUAUUAAAUGUUUUUCUUUUACCUGUUCAGAAACAUUUACAAUACAAUGUAUAAACUAAGCAUGUAAUGUUUUAUAUAAACAAAAUAAAUGUACUCAGAAAUGGGGAUGUGCAAAUAA